UAAGGAAUCUUCCACAAUGGGCGCAAGCCUGAUGGAGCAACACCGCGUGAGUGAAGAAGGGUUUCGGCUCGUAAAGCUCUGUUGUUAAAGAAGAACACGUAUGAGAGUAACUGUUCAUACGUUGACGGUAUUUAACCAGAAAGUCACGGCUAACUACGUGCCCG
rnacentral:rRNA from 1 species